CUGUGAUGGGGCAUUACCAUAAUGAAUUUUGCAUUUCUGGGCAUUGCUAGGAAUGUGUCAGUGAAAGAACGGUUUUUCAGACUGCUCUCUUCCACCAUGGAUUGCUCUUCCCAUAUCAUCUCAGACAGAGGCAAAGUCCCCGAAAAGCUGAAUGUUCCUUCUCCUGGGGAGAGAGUGCAAGUUUCUCCAGUCUACUAAAUCUGAAUGUGUAUAUAAUCCUUUUGUAAUGUGGAGGAAUGUAAUUAAGACCCACUCUGUCAGACAGCUGGAUAAAGUUUUUCUCUUUCCUUCCUCUUCUCUCUCUUUUUCCUCCCUCACCCCUCUUUCCUUCCCUCUCCCUUUCACUAUCUUCAGGGACCUUAAGAAAAGUGGCUUUAGCAAUAGUCAAUUUGUCGCCAAACUGUACAUCACCCAAUGUGACAUUAGCCAUGGUAGGGGACAGAAAUUAAUAUCUUUUACCCAGUCAUUGCAAGGUACUUUGUUGAGAUCUUUAUAACAAAAGAUCAAUGAACAGGAUAAAAAUGGACAAAAUUGUUUAAUAUAAGUUUUAUGUGACACGGGAGCCUUCAGAAAUAAAGACCCAAAGAGACAUGAAAAGCUGUAUUUUUGUGAUUGGGUUUGAUGAAGAGUGGACAGUCAUGCAGAAGUAUGAUUGGACAAAAGGGUAUAUGGUCUAACGGUAAUAAACUGAGGGGAACCUAGCAAGGCCUGUUUGUACAGAACCUUCUCUGAUGUCUCUGCCUUCAUUCCUUUCCUCUGCGCAAAGGAAGGAUCCCUGUGAAUGAGGGUCCUAUGACCUAUGUUAGAGGAAAGUCAGAGCAUUCUUUUAUGGCUUGCUUCUGGAGAGAAUAGCAUUCCAUUGGGUACUAUGCUCAUUACUGGGUCAAGA
rnacentral:lncRNA from 10 species